rnacentral:rRNA from 1 species
CUUACAAGGAUUUCCUUAGUAACGGCGAGUGAACCGGGAAUAGCCCAGCCUUAUAAUCCAAUGGUUUUGCUGUUUGAAUUGUAGUCUGGAGAAGCGUCCUUAGCGGCGGACUGGGCCCAAGUCCCCUGGAAAGGGGCGCCGGAGAGGGUGAGAGCCCCGUUGGGCCCAGACCCUGUCGCACCACAAGGUGCUGUCUUAGAGUCGGGUUGUUUGGGAAUGCAGCCUAAAUCGGGUGGUGAAUUCUGUCCAAGGCUAAAUACAGGUGAGAGCCCGAUAGCGAACAAGUACCGCGAGGGAAAGAUGAAAAGAACUUUGAAAAAAGAGCCAAAGAGUGCUUGAAAUUGCCGAGAGGGAAGCGGAUGGAGACCGGCGGUAGGCCCAGGUUGGAUGUGGAACGGUGAUUAGCCGGUCUGUUGAUAGACUCUGGGUGUGGAUCAACGAGAAUUCGGGUGGCGGUUGAAGCUUGGGCAUCUGAUAUGCUAAGGGAAUGCCGGCACUCGGAUUGUGGGAGUAGUGCGCGCCCUGUGCGUGCUUCGGCACCUGCGUUCUCUGGUCGUUGACUUGUGGGCUCUCCAUUUGACCCGUCUUGAAACACGGACCAAGGAGUCUGACAUGUGUGCGAGUUAGCGGGUGGAAAAACCUGUAAGGCGUAAGGAAGCUGAUUGGCGGGAUCCCUCUUGGGGGUGCACCGCUGACUGACCUUGAUCUUUUGAGAAGGGUUCGAGUGUGAGCAUACCUGUUGGGACCCGAAAGAUGGUGAACUAUGCCUGAGCAGGGUGAAGCCAGAGGAAACUCUGGUGGAGGCCCGUAGCGAUACUGACGUGCAAAUCGUUCGUUUGACUUGGGUAUAGGGGCGAAAG